AGAGCAACGAAUUGACUGGAGGGCUCAUGCUGAGAAUUAAACUGAGUCGUGAACAAGAAGAGACUCAACUUUGGGUUCCAUGUUGGUGUCAGACUAGGAGCUCGGAGUUUGCCAGGCAAUGGGGGAAGCUACCUGGGGCUGGCUGGAAAGGGAGAGAGAGUGGGAAAGACUUGGAAAUUAGGUGCACCUUCCUGAAUAUUUGGAGCUU
rnacentral:lncRNA from 1 species